AUUCCCGGAGCCUGGACUCUGUGGACGGAACUGACAAAGAGCCUUGCCUGGAAGAGGUGACAUUCCAGCGGGUGCAACCCCAACCCCAACUGUGCAUCCAGGUUACCCAACCGUGUCUCUGCCUCGUGCUCCAGGCAGGAUGGCUCUGGCCCAGGGAAGCGCCCAGCGGGGAAGAGACAGAGAUAAGCACACCGGGAAACAGAAACCGCAAGAAAAUAGCAGGAAUGCCGGGAGUAGAAGGAAUCAGGUGGGGGCGGGGGGGAGGUAACGGACAGAAGGAACUUUCUGAGGAGGGAAGCUGGGAAUGAGAGGGGCAGAGGUUUGCAUUCAGACAGAGGAUCAGACGUCAGCCGAGCCUGAGAUUUCUCAGCAGCAGCAACAGGAGAAGCGGAGAGACCUCGGAAUCCGGAGGGAAAGUGUUUCUAACGUAAAUGACGCCCCAGCCAAACCAGCCGUGAAGAGGGGGUUGGAUACGGAGCACGCUGAGUCACUCAGUGACAGAAACACAGCCCCCGCCUGUGUUUUUCAGGAAGCUCUUGGAAGCAUGCCUGCACAGAGAAACAGAAAGAAAUGAGACAUGGCAUCCAGGAAACGGGCCCUGACACAGGAAAGGGGAAGGUGAAGAGAGCUCUGAGGCAGCAGCUGGGCACCUGGCCACCGUGGCUCCGCUGGUUGGAGCUGCCUCUCGUGCACCUAAGAGUCUUGGGUUCGAUUCCCGGUGAAGGUACAUGCAGGAGAAAGCUGAUUGAUGGCCUCUGAUGAAGGGCUUUUGGCUAAAAGAGAACCCGUCUCCUCUGAGCCCCCAGCGCUGCCACGGUCUCCCCGCUUCCAGCCUCUGGAGACUCAGAAGAUGCUCCGCUUCCCGGCACCGGGACCAGAAGAGGCUGCCCCGGACAGGUUCACGCCGGAAGUGGGAAGAAGAGGAGAAAUCCGUCCUCGAUUGAGCCUUACACGCCUGUCACUUAAUCCGUACACUGGCCUGGAGAGAGACUGUUAUAACUCGGGUUUUCUUUUUAAUUGAUGUUUUUUUUCUUGAGAGAGAGAAACAUGAAUGUGUUGUCAUUCCACGUAUUAAUAAACUCAGCGGUUGAUUCUUG